CGGGGGGCUGCUCCAGGCGAGAAAACUUUGCAAUGUGCGAAAGCACGACAAGGUUAAUCCGAGUGGUUUCUGCUAAAGGAACCUUUUGACAGUCCUAGAAACACUGUUGAAUAAGGGGUGGGCAAGUUCUGGUGUCAGCCGCCGCGGUAAAACCAGCACCUCAAGUGGUCAGGAUGAUUAUUGGGCCUAAAGCAUCCGUAGCCGGCUCUGUAAGUUUUCGGUUAAAUCUGUACGCUCAACGUACAGGCUGCCGGGAAUACUGCAGAGCUAGGGAGUGGGAGAGGUAGACGGUACUCGGUAGGAAGGGGUAAAAUCCUUUGAUCUAUUGAUGACCACCUGUGGCGAAGGCGGUCUACCAGAACACGUCCGACGGUGAGGGAUGAAAGCUGGGGGAGCAAACCGGAUUAGAUACCCGUGUAGUC
rnacentral:rRNA from 1 species